rnacentral:rRNA from 1 species
UAGGGAAUCUUCCGCAAUGGGCGAAAGCCUGACGGAGCAACGCCGCGUGAGUGAUGAAGGUCUUCGGAUCGUAAAACUCUGUUAUUAGGGAAGAACAAAUGUGUAAGUAACUAUGCACGUCUUGACGGUACCUAAUCAGAAAGCCACGGCUAACUACGUGCCAGCAGCCGCGGUAAUACGUAGGUGGCAAGCGUUAUCCGGAAUUAUUGGGCGUAAAGCGCGCGUAGGCGGUUUUUUAAGUCUGAUGUGAAAGCCCACGGCUCAACCGUGGAGGGUCAUUGGAAACUGGAAAACUUGAGUGCAGAAGAGGAAAGUGGAAUUCCAUGUGUAGCGGUGAAAUGCGCAGAGAUAUGGAGGAACACCAGUGGCGAAGGCGACUUUCUGGUCUGUAACUGACGCUGAUGUGCGAAAGCGUGGGGAUCAAAAAGG